GUAACAGAGGGUUUGAUUCUGGCUCAGAUUGAACGCUGGCGGGAUGCUUUACACAUGCAAGUCGAACGGCAGCACGGACUUCCGGUCUGGUGGCGAGUGGCGAACGGGUGAGUAAUGUAUCGGAACGUGUAGUAGCGGGGGAUAACUACGCGAAAGCGUAGCUAAUGCCACAUACGCCCUUCAGGAAAACUGAGGACCUUCGGGCCUCGCACUAUUAGAGCAGCCGAUAUCGGAUUAGCUAGUUGGUGGGGUAACGGCUCACCAAGGCGACGAUCCAUGUGGUUUGAAGAGGACGACCAGCCACACUGGGACUGAGACGCGCUGAACUCCCUACAGGGAGGCAGCAGUGGGGAAUUUUGGACAAUGGAAACCUGAUCCAGCCAUCCCGCGUGUGCGAUGAAGGCCUUCGGGUUGUAAAGCACUUUUGGCAGGAAAGAAACAGCACCGGGAUAAUACCCCGUGCAACUGACAGUACCUGCAGAAUAAGCACCAACGUAACUACGUGCCAGCAGCCGCGGUAAUACGUAGGGUGCAAGCGUUAAUCGAGUACUGGAGCGUAAAGCGUGCGCAGGCGGUUCGGAAAAGAUGUGAAAUCCCAGGCUUAACUUUGGAACUGCAUUUUUAACUACCGAGCUAGAGUGUGUCAGAGGAGGUGGAAUUCGCGUGUAGCAGUGAAAUGCGUAGAUAUGCGGAGGAACACCGAUGCUUGAAAGCAACCUCCUGGGAUAACACUGACGCUCAUGCACGAAAAGCGUGGGGGCAAACAGGUCCGUUCCCUGUUGGUCACGCCCUAAACGAUGUCAACUAGCUGUUGGGGCCUUCGGGCCUUGGUAGCGCAGCUAACGCGUGAAGUUGACCGCCGCAAGGGAGUACGGUCGCAAGAUUAAAACUCAAAGGAAUUGACGGGGACCCGCACAAGCGGUGGAUGAUGUGGAUUAAUUCGAUGCAACGCGAAAAACCUUACCUACCCGCCAAUGUCUGGAAUCCCGAAGAGAUUUGGGAAUGCUCGCAAGAGAACCGGAACACAGGUGCUGCAUGGCUGUCGUCAGCCCGUGUCGUGAGAUGUUGGGUUAAGUCGCAACAAGAGCGCAACCCUUGUCAUUAGUUGCUACGAAGGGCACUCUAAUGAGACUGCCGGUGACAAACCGGAGGAAGGUGGGGAUGACGUCAAGUCCUCAUGGCCCCUUGGGUAGGGCUUCACACGUCAUACAAUGGUCGGGACAGAGGGUCGCCAGCCCGCGAGGAGCCAAUCCCAGAAACCCGAUCGCUGGUCGGAUCGCAGUCUGCAACUCGACUGCGUGAAGUCAGUCGCUAGUAAUCGCGGAUCAGCGUAAUAAAGUGAAUACGUUCCCGGGUCUUGUACACACCGCCCGUCACACCAUGGGAGUGGGUUUUACCAGAAGUAGUUAGCCUAACCGUAAGGAGGGCGAUUACCACGGUAGGAUUCAUGACUGGGGGUGAAGUCGUAACAAAGGUAA
rnacentral:rRNA from 1 species